rnacentral:lncRNA from 10 species
CCAAAGUGCUGGGAUUACAGGCAUGAGCCACCACACCCGGCCCUUUGCUGGCUUCUUAAUGCACCAAAAUAAACUGAUGCUAACUUGUUAUACCAUAUCUGAAGAGGCUCUAAUUGAGGCACUAAGAAAAAUAAGACAUCAGUUUGAAAAGUGUCACUAACAGAGCAACAUGAAUUCUGCUAAAAUUGAAGCAAGAAUAAGCAUCAAAUUUAUGAUGAAGCUUGGGUGGAAGAACAGUGAAAACAUUGAUGUUUAAUGAAAAGUUUAUGGGGACAAUGUCCCAAAGAAAUCAGCAGUUUACAAAUGAAUAACUUGUUUUAAGAAGGAAUGAGAUGUUGCUGAAGACGAAGUCUGCAGUGGCAGACCACCCACACUGAUUUGUAAGAAAAAAAAAAUCUUAUUUGUGCCCUAAUUGAGGAGGACCAAUGAUUAAUAGCACAAACAAUAGCCAGCACCAAUGACAUCUCUUUGGUUCAGCUUACACAAUUCUUACUGAAAAAUCUAAGUUGAGCAAAGUUUCCACUCAAUGUGUGCCAAAACUGUUGCAACUAGAUCAGCUGCAAAUAAAAACAGAGCUUUCAAUGGAAAUUUUAAACAAGUGAGGUCAAGAUCCUAAAGCAUUUCUUCGAAUAAUUGUAACAUGACUUUAUAGAUAUGAUUCUGAAGACAAGAUACAAUCCAAGCAAUGGCUACUGAGAGCGGCCAGAAGCAGCGAAAGCAGUCCAGUUAAAGCAAAAGCAGACCAGUCAAGAGCAAAGGUCAUAGCAACAGUUUUUUUUGGGGGGUGCUCAAGGCAUUAUGCUUGUUGACUGUAAGGAGGGCCAAAGAACAGUAACAUCUGCUCAUUAUGAGAGUGUUCUGAGAAAGUUAGCCAAAGCUUGAGUAGAAAAAAUUACUGGAAAGCUUCACCAGAGAAUCCUUCUUCACCACCACAAGGCUCUUGCUCAUUUCUCUUACCAUACGAGGGCAAUUUUGCAGGAGUUCCAAUGAGAAAUCAUAAGGCAUCCACCUUACAGCUUAGGUUUGGCUCUUUUGUUUCCUAAUCUUAAAAAAAAAAUCUGUAAAGGGCACUCAUUUCCUUCAGUUAAUUAAAACAAACCAACCAACCAACCAACCAACCAACCAACCACACAGAUCUGGUUAAAUUCCUAGAAACUUCAGUUCUAUAGAAAUGGACUAAAUGACUGGUCUUAUUGCUUACAAAAAUGGGCUUGAAGUUGAUACAGCAUAUGUUGAGAAAUGAAUUGUAUAUGUUUUGGUUUUAUCUAUUAAUUUGAUUUUUUCUAUGAACUUUUUGAAGCUCCUCCAUGUACAUCAAAUAUCAUGUUGUAUAUCUUAAAUAUAUAUAAAUUAAAAUAAUAUUAAUGAAAAUGUAACUCGCACAGAAUGUUGACAAUUAUCACCCAGCCAAGGAGACCACAAUGAUAUCAUUGACUAUGUAAGAACUAGAAGAAAGGAUUGUGUAAUAUCAUUCUCUUGAAAAGUUAGUGGUUAUUGCAGGCACGGCAACUCAUGCCUGUAAUCCCAGCCUGUAAUCCCAGAACUUUGGGAGGCCGAGGCGGGUGGAUCACCUGAGGUGAGAAGUUCGAGACCAGCCGGACUCAUGGUGAAAAUUUGUCUCUACUAAAAAUAAAAAAAUUAGCUGGGUGUAGUGGCGGGAGACUGUAAUCCCAGCUACUCGGGAGGCUGAGGCAGGAGAAUCACUUGAACCCGUGAGGCGGAGGUUGCAGUGAGCCAAGAUCGCACCUUUGCACUCCAGCCUGGGUGACAAAGUGAGACUCUGUCACAAAAACAAAAACAAAAAAGGUUAGUGGUUAUUUAAGAAGGCUUUUUCAAAGCUGGCAAUUUACUUCCUGAGCUUCAAAAAGUGUAUUUACACAUCAUUCCAUAAGCAUGACUUUUCAUUUAUAUUAAAUUAUUUUUUUCUAAUUUAACAUUAUUCAUUUUUUAUUCUUUUUUUGCAAAUAUGUAAAAUGAAGUUAUAACUCUUACUACAAUAAUUCCAUUUUGAAUUUGAGGUGAAUUUUGCAGAGUUAAAAAAUCCAAAUCAGCUAAAUUAAUCAGUUAAGUUAAUUUUAAGAAGAGGUCAGAUUUUUCAGUCAACUAAUGAAAUUAAAAUAAUUUAAAGGUAAAAGGUCUUAUGUUAUUGUGACUAGUAGUAUAAAUUCGGUUUAAAAAUUAACCAUUAAAGUUUAUUUUUUUUUUUGCAAUGAUCAUCACAACAUAUGCAUUUUGAUAGAACAUAAUCAUGGUAAAAAUAAUAUUCUCACCAAAUUAAAAAAGUUUGGAAACAAAAUAUACUUGGAAACAUUCAUACAUCACAAAUAAUGUCUCCAAAGAAGCUGCACUGUUCAAUAAAAAAGCUGUAAUUUGAUAGAGUAAUUGACAAAUGUUUAUGUAGAUAUAAAUAGAGUAAUUAAGUUACAAAAUUGUGUGAUGAAGCUGAUACUGAAUGUGAAAAAAAUAUUCAACAAAACAGUAUACAUGUUCUUUGAUCUCCAUUAUUAAUCAGAUUCUAGAAAGGCUUGAGGCUUUUAAUAAUUACCUUGUAAGUCACUGAGCGUUAUGCACUUGCUUUGCAUCUAUUGUAAUGGUAUAUCUUAAAAUUACUUCGAAAGUGUUGAAAGUUUUCACUUGAAAACAUUUCUUAGAAUGCCUCUAUAAUUUUUGGCAACAAAAAUUGCAAAAAGGAGAAUUUUUAAGUUUAUUUUUAUUUCAAAAGAAAGAACAGAAAAAUAAUAAGUAGUGGGAGCUCAAGUGGUAUACAAAAACAAAAUUUAAUAUUUAAUUUUGUUACUUGUACUUGGGCAUUUCUUGAAGUUAGUAAUAAUAUUUGAUUGAGUUCAUAGUUUUGUUUAUAUAAAUUUUCAAUUUCAACUUCAAUGGAAUAAAAUUAAUUGGUCUAUAAUUUUGCAGCAUCUAAAUGAAGCAAAUAAUUGCAAAAAACUUCAAUAGGAGCAAGUAAUUUAACAAGUUUCGGUUAUAAAAGUAUUUUCAUAAAUAAAUGCCACACGUAGAUAGGAGAAAAUGGUAUCUAUAAAAAUACCUGAGUUGAAAUAUUGGCACAUUUCAGUGAGAAAACAUAGAAUUGAGAAUAUUUUCCACUUAGAUAUUUCUGUGUACUUAUUAAGUACCUCUGCACUUGUAGAUAAAGCAUUUUCUCAAUUAAAAAUAAAUAUCAUAGUUGAAGAAAAAAGCUAAAUAAGGGUUUUAACUAUUUCAAAUACUUAAAGCAUAGACUGGAAAUUUUGAAAAUAAUUUAAUAAAUUCAAGAGAUCUAUUGUACACAUGCUGACUGUUGUUAUUAACAAUGCAUUGUAUUCUUGAAAAUCUCUGGGAAUAGACUAUGUGUUCUCACCACAAAAAAUCAGUAUGUGAGGUAAUGUGUGUGCUAAUUAUUUCAAUUAAGACAUUUCAGAAUGUACACAUUUCAAAACAUCAUGCUGUACAUAACCAUAUAUACUUUUUUGUCAAUUAAAAUAAAUACAUUAAUUAGAAGAAUAAUUUCCAUUAAUGAUUUAAAAUAUUGUACAUUCAAAAGUAUAUUUUUAAAAACUACCUUUAUUAUAAAAAUGCUA